rnacentral:rRNA from 1 species
GCAAGUCGAACGGACCCUUCGGGGUUAGUGGCGGACGGGUGAGUAACACGUGGGAACGUGCCUUUAGGUUCGGAAUAGCUCCUGGAAACGGGUGGUAAUGCCGAAUGUGCCCUUCGGGGGAAAGAUUUAUCGCCUUUAGAGCGGCCCGCGUCUGAUUAGCUAGUUGGUGAGGUAACGGCUCACCAAGGCGACGAUCAGUAGCUGGUCUGUGAGGACGACCAGCCACACUGGAACUGAGACACGGUCCAGACUCCUACGGGAGGCAGCAGUGGGGAAUUUUGGACAAUGGGCGCAAGCCUGAUCCAGCAAUGCCGCGUGAGUGAAGAAGGCCUUCGGGUUGUAAAGCUCUUUUGUCAGGGAAGAAACGGUGGGGGCUAAUAUCCUCCACUAAUGACGGUACCUGAAGAAUAAGCACCGGCUAACUACGUGCCAGCAGCCGCGGUAAUACGUAGGGUGCAAGCGUUAAUCGGAAUUACUGGGCGUAAAGCGUGCGCAGGCGGUUUUGUAAGUCUGUCGUGAAAUCCCCGGGCUCAACCUGGGAAUUGCGAUGGAGACUGCAAGGCUAGAAUCUGGCAGAGGGGGGUAGAAUUCCACGUGUAGCAGUGAAAUGCGUAGAGAUGUGGAGGAACACCGAUGGCGAAGGCAGCCCCCUGGGUCAAGAUUGACGCUCAUGCACGAAAGCGUGGGGAGCAAACAGGAUUAGAUACCCUGGUAGUCCACGCCCUAAACGAUGUCUACUAGUUGUCGGGUUUUAAUUAACUUGGUAACGCAGCUAACGCGUGAAGUAGACCGCCUGGGGAGUACGGUCGCAAGAUUAAAACUCAAAGGAAUUGACGGGGACCCGCACAAGCGGUGGAUGAUGUGGAUUAAUUCGAUGCAACGCGAAAAACCUUACCUACCCUUGACAUGUACGGAAGCCACGAGAGAUCGAGGUGUGCUCGAAAGGGAGCCGUAACACAGGUGCUGCAUGGCUGUCGUCAGCUCGUGUCGUGAGAUGUUGGGUUAAGUCCCGCAACGAGCGCAACCCUUGUCAUUAGUUGCUACAUUUAGUUGAGCACUCUAAUGAGACUGCCGGGACAGACCGGAGGAAGGUGGGGAUGACGUCAAGUCCUCAUGGGCCUUAUGGGGUAGGGCUUCACACGUCAUACGAUGGUACAUACAGAGGGCCGCCAACCCGCGAGGGGGAGCUAAUCCCAGAAAGUGUAUCGUAGUCCGGAUCGCAGUCUGCAACUCGACUGCGUGAAGUUGGAAUCGCUAG